CUGGCGGCGUGCUUACACAUGCAAGUCGAGCGGAGUUUAUUGGGAGACGAUUUCGAUCUGAUCCUAGUUAAACUUAGCGGCGGACGGGUGAGUAACACGUGGGCGACCUACCCUUAAGACUGGGAUAACAACCCGAAAGGGUUGCUAAUACCGGAUACCUUCUCUUGGCUGCAUGGCCGGGGGAAGAAAAGAUUUAUCGCUUAAGGAUGGGCCCGCGACCCAUUAGCUAGUUGGUGAGGUAACGGCUCACCAAGGCGACGAUGGGUAGCUGGUCUGAGAGGACGAUCAGCCACACUGGAACUGAGACACGGUCCAGACUCCUACGGGAGGCAGCAGUGGGGAAUAUUGCACAAUGGGCGCAAGCCUGAUGCAGCAACGCCGCGUGAGCGAAGACGGCCUUCGGGUUGUAAAGCUCUGUCAGGGGGGACGAUAAUGACGGUACCCCCAAAGGAAGCCCCGGCUAACUACGUGCCAGCAGCCGCGGUAAUACGUAGGGGGCGAGCGUUGUCCGGAAUUACUGGGCGUAAAGGGCGUGUAGGCGGCCAUGCAAGUCAGCUGUGAAACCCCCGGGCUCAACCCGGGACGUGCAGUUGAAACUGUAUGGCUUGAGUGCAGGAGAGGAGAGUGGAAUUCCUAGUGUAGCGGUGACAUGCGUAGAUAUUAGGAGGAACACCAGUGGCGAAGGCGGCUCUCUGGACUGUAACUGACGCUGAGGCGCGAAAGCGUGGGGAGCAAACAGGAUUAGAUACC
rnacentral:rRNA from 1 species